GGCGGGCAUUGUCGUCUCGGCAACUGUGUCCAGGGCAACGAACGCAACCUGUGCCCGGAGGUGUGACGGGCCACUGCGGGUGUGUGAGAACGGGAGAGGGACGCCGGGGAUGCUGAGUGACUGGCCAGGGAUACCAGAGCAGGGACACACGCAUACUAUGAUCACCAGACAUUGAUACUAUGAAAAUGGACACCAUUGACAAUCAGAAUUCAGAAGAAAUAUUGAAAGAACUGUGUGCGUGCAAUGGUGUCAACUAUGAGAAGAUUGCACAAGAAGGACCAGCAAAUAAAACACUUGAAAUGUUCUUUUCUGGUUAUCCGAAAAUGGUGGGACUCUCUUACUUUCCAAAUCUUACAAACCUAACAUUAAUUGGACAAAAUAUAGAAAACAUCGCUGGUCUAGAAUCGUGUCCACUGCUUCAGAAACUUUGGAUUACGGAGUGUCGUUUGACAGAAAUUAAAGGUCUAGAAACGUGCCUUAAUGUGAAAGAGCUCUUCCUUUAUUGUAACAGUAUUAAGGUCAUUGAGUCCUUGGAAAAGCUGACCCAGUUAGAAGUACUCUGGCUAAAUGAUAAUCAGAUUGAAGUAAUAGAGGGACUGGAAACUCUACAGAAUUUAAAAGAGCUUAAUCUGGCUGGAAACCUAAUACACUCUGUAGGACAUUGCUUGGAUCCAAAUGUUAAUCUUGAACAGUUAAACCUGUCGGGUAAUAAUAUUGCUUCUUUUAAGGAACUCACAAAUUUAGCAAGACUUAAAAAUAUAAAGGAUUUGGGCCUGAAUGAUCCACAAUACACCCCUAAUCCAGUGUGCCUUUUCUGCAAUUAUGCUACCCAUGUAUUAUACCAUAUACCACAGCUUCAGAGACUUGACACAUAUAAUGUGUCCCAAAAAACAGUCAAGGAUCUUGCAGAAUCUACAGUGAUGAAAAAGAUAAUGUACUACAACAUGAGAGUAAAGACUAUACAAAGACAUCUAAGGAAAGAAUUAGAAAUACUAAAAGAGCGGAAGUGCACAUUGGAACAGCUGCCACAGGAAAGAAUGAAAUUGCUUCUCUUCCAGGUGAAAAGUUUAGAAUGGGACCGAUCUCCAGAAAGUCACCAAAACAUUCCGAAAUCUCCUGAAAACCUUUAUUGCCGCACAGAUCAGGAAAACUCAAAUUUAUGGGCAGAAGGGAAGGGCAACAGAGCAGAAUCAGACAUGGAGGAGAAUUUAUCUCAAAAGAUGCAUGCAUUGAAAGAGAGAAUACACUUCUGGACAUCAAAGAUGGAUGACAUAGAUGUUUUUCAUGAGAAAGAAGUUGAAAGGACGAAAAAAAGCUUUGAUCUCUUGGUCCAGUUCUUACAGACAGAACUUGAAACCGUAGGGAAUGUUCGCUUUGAAGAAGGAACUCCAUCAGAUUCAUGGUUCAAAUCCUGCUAUGACUUGAUUUUAUCCCGUUUCUGUGCCUUAAAUUUUAAAACAUUUGGAAUCUCUGGAGUGAAAAUAAACAGAAUAGUCAGAGUGCACAACAGAAUCCUUCGAUCCAAGUUUGAGGAUAGAGUGCAAGACUAUUUGGAUGGUGAAGACGGCACUGCCAAUGAAAACUACAAGAAGAUGUUGGAAUAUCUUUUUUACACAUUUGACCCUGAUUUUGAGAAGAAAGAUCUUUUGCAAAUUCUUGAGGAUGGCUUUAAUUUCACAAAAACGUUUAAGCUGCCUGAACAAGAACAAGGCAUUCUUCUAUCCAACAGUUUGGGAUUUCGUGAGACUUUCACAUCGACGCAAGCAACAACGGUGGAGACAAAUUAUGAUCCAGAGCAUUUUAAAUGUGGUAAACUGAUCAUUGCUAAAGUUUUCCUGGGCCGUAGUGUUCAAGCCCAAGAAGAUCUUGUGAUAAAUCCAGAUACUUACCCUGAUGCCAAUACUGUAUUCAGGCCAUUGAAAUUUAAGAGAAAUUGUGUAUAUUAUUCAAAAAACGAAGCACAAUCUUCAGAGGAGCAUGGGAACUGUGACUGCAGCCUACACCGGUGUGAUUGGUUUGUGUUUGAUCCUGAGCUCAUCCUGCCAGAGUACAUUGUUGAGUUUGAAUAUAUUCCGCUGGUAGGGGCCCCAGCUUCUAGUCUUCACGAUAGUGAGGCUGAAAUUAAACUGGAUGAAGAAAUUAUUUCCAUGAAGCCGACUGUCAAACCUCGGCCCAAAAUAAUUAGUUUAGAUGAAAAUACUAUCCUUUCUGUAGCUAAAGCCAGUACUUACAGUCAAAUAACAGUCUUGAACUUACAUGGUAACAGUUUAAGCAAACUGAGGGAGAUUUCAAAACUACGUGGGCUUCAAAAGCUUAUCUUAAGUUUUAAUGAAUUUUCAAGUCUAGAGGAUGUUUCAUGCUUGCCAAAUCUGGAAUACCUUGAUGCCAGCCAUAACAGUGUGACAGCUCUGGAUGGUGUUAAAGGACUGGCAAAACUGAAGCAUUUAGAUGUGAGCUGGAACCAAUUAACAAGAAUCAGGGAAGAUAUGAACAUUUUACGAACACAAACUCCACAUCUUCUGUCACUGAAUAUAAACUACAAUCCCUGGCAAAAGCCAGCUUCAGUGCGUAUGGUAGCGAUUGGAAGGUUAAAGUCGCUGAUUCAUUUGGAUGGGAUCCUGAUUACGGAAGAGGAGGUUUCACAAUCUUCAAAGUUUUUUCCUGAAGGCCGGAUUACACAGGCAUCGCUGCUAUUGAAUGCCAGAACAGACCAUGUGAAACCUCGAUGCCUUAGUCUAUUACCUUCUGCUCAGAUACUCUCUCAUAUAAGCAAGAACUGCCUGGAUCCAUAUGCUGAUUUUAACAGCUGGUAUCUCAGGAUAACAUCUAUAAAUUUUGAUGGACAAAAACUCUCCAAAAUCACAAAUUUGGAAAAGCUUGAAAAUGUACGUUGGGCAUCUUUCAGCAACAAUUAUCUGACCAAAACUGGAGGCCUGGAAAAAUGUACCAAGUUAGAGGAGCUUUGUCUUGAUGGAAACAGCAUCACAAAACUGGAAGGCCUUUCAAAUCUUGUGAAACUCAGACGUCUCAGUAUAAAUGACAAUAAGCUUACAAGCAUCGAUAAGGAGGUUAUUGAUAACCUAUCUCAUCUACAUUUUCUCUCUGCUGAGAACAAUAGCAUCAGCUGUCUGGCAGGACUACAGAAAGCCUACCUUUUAAUAGAACUCUACCUGAGCAAUAAUCGGAUCAGUAGCAACCAAGAGAUCUACCACCUCAAGGGUUUAAACAAUCUUGUGAUUCUGGACUUGUGUGGUAAUCCAAUCUCCCUGAAAAAUGACAACUAUCGAUUGUUUGUUAUUUUCCAUCUUUCAUCGCUAAAAGCUCUGGAUGGAUCUGCUGUGGAUCAGCUUGAGAGUGAAAAUGCAAAGGAUAUGUUUGGUGGAAGACUCAGUUCAGAUAUGAUUGUUGAAAAGCUUGGACAUCAAAACUUUACAGAACUACAAGAGCUAAACUGGAGGUCUUCCUCGAUUAGAUCUGUUGACCUUAUUCCACCUGACCAGUUUAGGGGAAUCCACACAGUGAAUUUAGAAAACAACAAUCUGACAUCUUUUAGUGGUUUGAUUUUUCUGCCCCACGUAAAGAAUUUGUAUCUAAAUUACAAUCGCAUUGAAUCAAUCCUGCCCAAGCAAAAGCCUCAGAAUCCCUUAACAAACCGGCAGAUACUGCACCAAAAAGUCUACUCCAGUGGAUAUGGGCAGCAGGGCAAGGCUAACAGGGAUAUAUUGUUUGGCGAGACACUGACCCCAAUAAUGCAGAGUUUAGAAGUUCUUCACCUUGGUUUCAAUGGAAUCAGUAAUUUGCCUCAGCUGCAGCUCAGUAGACUAAGGAAUUUAAAGUCCCUUUUUCUGCAAGGAAAUGAGAUCAGCCAAGUGGAAGGACUUGAAGGUUUACAGUUUCUCCAAGAGCUUGUCCUGGACCAUAACCGUAUUAAACUUAUUACCGAAACUUCCUUUGCCAAGCAAAGUUCUCUGGUGUCUCUACGACUGGAAGAAAAUAGACUGAGAGAAGUUGGCAACUUGCUUCAUCUUAUCAAGCUAAAGAAACUGUAUAUUGGAUUCAAUAAAAUUCAGGAAAUUUCAGAAGUGGAAAAGCUAGAGGCUCUCCCAACACUAUUAGAGCUAUCUGUGUCUGGAAAUCCAAUAUCCCGAAAAAUGUUCCAUCGUCAGUUGCUUGUUCUUAAGCUGCAGAACCUUCAGAUAUUAGAUGGCAUUGCUGUGACCAAUGAGGAGAGAACAAGAGCAGAGAUGUAUUCCUUGGAACAACAAGCGUUCUCCAGUCCAAAUCCUGUUCUAGAGACAGUGCAUCCAGUCUCUCAGUUCAUCUUGACCAAACCCCCACCAUUACGCAUUACAAAUGUCUGUCUGCCAGGAGGUGUGCACCCCUUUGGUAGUCCGAAUCUCCAUUUAAAUAAUAGACAGGACGACUUCCUUCCAAAUGACUCGGAUAAAUGUGAGGGCUCGGAGAUCACCAGGCGGUGGAGAUCGCACCGUUUCCGCAAUAACAUCGCCAAUGAACAGCUUGCCCGGAGCAGAGCCCCAGCAAGAGGAUCACAUCGCAGAUGUCAUCCUAAUACCAGUGAGCUGAUGUUUCACAAAAGGCCAAUUGAGUCCAGGGAAAGCACAACAGGCAGUUAGAUUGAAUAGGAGGAAGGCAAGGAGAGUGAAGAGAGGCAAUCACAUCUUUUGACACCAGUAGACUCCUAGGAGGCAGCAGCACACCCACCUCUACAGAGUAUGCAGGGUACUAAAGGAAGAGAAGAAGGCACCAGUGUGGCGCUGAAGGUAACCAUGACGUGCACGUAGAUGGCGGGCUAUAACGUCAAUUGAUGAAGGCAUCCUAUGAAUUAUGAGAGAAAUUCCAAUUCCUUCAUGCCAGAAGAUGACCCAGCCACCCCAGGAUACCUUCCUUAAUUAUGUAAACUGACAUGUAACGUUCUGCCCCAAAAUCCUGCCCAUGCUGAAAAACCUCACAGAUGGGCAGGCUAUGCAGACCACUGAUGACAUUUACUGAUUGCUGGCAGCCUACAGUUCUUGCAAUAAAUUUUUGUUUAACCCUUUA